AUCCAGCUGACGAGUCCCAAAUAGGACGGAACCUGUGUCCUGAAU
rfam:Schistosoma mansoni strain Puerto Rico chromosome 4, complete genome